AGUGCUGCAGCUGGUGUUGUGAAUCAGGCCGUCACCGAUCAGAGAACGGCUACUUCACAACACCAGGGUUGCACCC
rnacentral:pre_miRNA from 14 species